AUAUGUGAUCGUCUCUCGCAUAUCAAUAAGCGGAGGAAAAGAAACUAACAAGGAUUCCCCUAGUAACGGCGAGUGAAGCGGGAAGAGCUCAAAUUUGAAAUCUUAAAGGGUUUCCCUUUACGAAUUGUAGUUUAAAGAAGUGUUUUCUGUUGAGGUUUUGGUAAAAGUUCUUUGGAAUAGGACAUCAUAGAGGGUGAGAAUCCCGUAUUUGACCUUUACUUUCAACUUUGUGAUACACUUUCAAAGAGUCGGAUUGUUUGGGAAUGCAGUCCAAAAUGGGUGGUAAAUUUCAUCUAAAGCUAAAUAUUGGCGAGAGACCGAUAGCGAACAAGUACCGUGAGGGAAAGAUGAAAAGAACUUUGAAAAGAGAGUUAAACAGUACGUGAAAUUGUCAAAAGGGAAGCGUUUGACACCAGUGUUGUUUUUCUGAAAAUCAAUUAAAGAACUGUUUAUGCUAAGUUGUUUAGACUUUAUCAGCUAUCUGUUUAGUUUUGAGCUUUUCUUUAAUGCACUUUUCAGUUAACAAGAUCAACAUCAAUUUCUUUUGCUGUAAAAAAGCUUGAGGAAGGUGGCUUGAGAUUCGUCUUAAGUGUUUAUAGCCUCUUGCCUAUGCAGUCGGAGAGAUUGAGGUCUGCAGCGUAGAUCCUUCGGGGCUAAAUGCAUUUGUGCUAAGUUAUAGCAUUUUAUAGACAACUUGUUGACUAUGAUUUGUCUUGUAGCUUACUCGCUUAUGUUAUUUUACCUACGCUUAGGAUGUUGAGUCGUAGAGCACGCAG
rnacentral:rRNA from 1 species